rnacentral:lncRNA from 1 species
CUUCUGGUAAUUUACAGAUUUUUUUUUUUUAACGCACAGUAGCGGACAGUGGCUGGAAUCAAUUCCUGCAGUCGAGCCUUUGCUUCGCAUAUCUCUGCUCCUUGAGGCUGUGGCCUCCUUCCCCCAGUAAGCACCAUGCCAGGGUCUUAAGACGCCGGGAACUCGGAGUUCUGUGGGGAGGCUGUUUUCCUGACUGUGGUCUCCCCGGCCUACAGCCCCUCCCGGAACGCUCUAAAGCACUUCUCAGAAGCACAUUCGUGGUUUGGCUCACUUUCUGAGAAACAGAUAGGAGGGUGAAGAGGGACUUUCAACUAUGGAAAACCAGAGCGAAUAGGCACAGAAUGGCACUAAAAGCCGCCACCGAAGGACUACCUAGCAGACCGCCAGUGCAUCGACAUAAUGGACUCGUCUCCGUGGAACAAACCGCUAAGGACUCAGAAUUACACCACCCGUGUAUAGACGAGGAAACCGAAUGUUCAUGA